GGCGCGCGUGCGCGCUCCCUUCCGGAGCCCGCGAGGCGGAAGUGCGACCGAGCUGCCUCGGCUUGGGCCUCCUCAGGUUCCCCUCUGUCGGGUGGGUGCACUACCCAACUCCGGUGAGGGCGUCUGGCAUAGUUCGAGGGAGACAAAGGGGGGUACGCCAAGAGCUUCCAGGUCGAAGGUGCUAAGCCUUGACUACAGAAAUGAGACCCGAGGGCACGGGGGAACGGGGAGAGCACCAGCAGCCGGUGGAACGAACUCGCGGCAGUGUGACCCUACACCGUGGCCAGUGCAGCUGAUGGCGACGAAAGUCAGUUAGAAAUGGAUUUUUUCUUUAUGAUAGUCCUUCCUGGUCCACCUGCCCACAGAGACUGUUUGGGGCACAUUUACCCAACUAAACAGAGGUACAGCAGUACCCACGAGAACACUGUUAGCAAACCUGUUGUGGAGGAACAGCAGCUUAACAUCAGCAGAUCCUGGACAUUGCUAAAUCACCUGGAUAAUUCUCCUCACCAUUUUGCACAUUUUAGAGCUCUAUAAAGUAUUACUAUUUCCAUUUCACAUGAAGAAAAUGAAAUGAAGACCUGACGAGGAAUGUCACACACCUGCAUAAACAUCCCUUUCAGGUUGGCGAUGACAACAGCGGCCAAGACUGACUGCCAAGAGAGACAGGGAAGGCCGUGUUAUUUAGGGGAAUGGCUUUUCAUGGGAUGAUUUUUAAAUCUCCUGUUAUUUCUCCGGUGGCAGAGCAGUGAAGAGAGAUUAUGCAAUCAGGGUUGUACCUUUUGCAAAGGUUCCAGCAGCUUCCCCAGGGCGACAAUGGCGAUCAUCACAAUCCCUGCCGAGAUGAUGCCAGCAAUCUGAAAGACACACGCCUCCCGUGAACAAGGUUCACCCUUCUCCCUCACACCUUCCAGCUUGCUGGAUGUGAGCAGGAGGGGGCCUGUUCAUGGGUGCACCUCCCCUCUUCUGCCCAAUACUGUUGAGAGAAAUGAGGAUUAUUUCCUAAAGUUCUAUACAACUAAAGAAAAAAAUGGGAAAUAUAUAAAGGGCAUCUAUGGCAGAGAAAUUAAAGAAAACGUGGAGACCGAGCCUGUUGGGGGAAAGCUGGAGGGACCUGGAUUUCCUCUGGAUGUACGACAGACCUAAUGCCCCAGUGUCCAUUUGGGAGGCCGACUUGUAAUCAUCUGCUGUGGCAGGAAACCUGGACCUCACCCUUCCCCAACCACAGGUCACCCUAUGUUCUUGGAAAAUAAAUCCUCGCAGCACACAUCGGAUUCUUCAAUUUAUGGAAGCAGCAGCCAUAACAGCAAGUCUGCAAACACUUUGUACUUAAUAGCAUGUGAUUCCCACAGAGCUCUCAGAGGGAAUAAGUGGACCAGUCCCACUGCAGAUUCAAAAUGCGACAUGAGCGUAACGGCACAUGGGACCGCGUCCCCGGACGCAGGCUCAGAGCUUUGCCCCCAUGAUGGUGGGGCAAGAGCAGAGGUUAAAGGACCUGUAGACACUUUACCUUCGCUGGCCAAAAAGCUCUCCUAAGAUCCAUAAAUAGUUAGGAGAGAGGCCGAGGGGGUGGGGCUAUGCUCUGUGUGGUUAGCUGACCAGGGACCUCUCCACUGAGACAGCUGGAAGAUGGCCCAGGUAAGACCAGAAGCUCUGAAACGGAGGAGCAAAGGAGACAGGGCGCCAGAAGCAAAGUGACAGGAGGAGCAACGGGGAAGACCGUCCUGGGCACAGGUGCUGCUGGCUACGAGAGAUUGGAGUUGAAAGAGGCAGGUAAAGCCAACAUAGAUGGAAAAUCCAGAAACUUCAGGAAACUUUAAAGUCACAGUCUUUCCACCUGGCAAAUUGAUCAUUCACGUUUCAAUUAUGGUUGGAUCAGCCCGAGACAACAUUAUAAAUCCAACAGACUAAAAACUUGGUACUUCCAGGCUCUUUGUUGCCUGUUAGCGCCGCAUCUCCAGGUUACCUGUACCUCAGUGGCUUCCCCUCUCCUAUCUGAGCAGAGAAACUUAUAUCCUCCCUCCCUCUUCCCUUCCUUCCCUUCCUUCCCUUCCUCCCUCCCUCCCUCCCUCCCUCCCUUCCUUCCUUCCUUCCUUCCUUCCUUCCUUCCUUCCUUCCUUCCUUCUUCUCUUCCUUCCUUUCCUUCCUCCCUUCCUCCCUUCCUCACAAUUGCUUAACAACACUGGUUGCCUAUCAUGAGCCACUUGCAUCUCACUGUGGAGGUAGGGCUCUGUGAAUUGCUGAAAGAAAUGGAGAUCUGGGGACAGAGACCAUAGCCAGCUGUCUGGCUCAUGCCAGGAGAGUAGCCACAUCCUUGCCAAGAACGUGUAUCAGUAAGCUGCCAGUUAGGGGGGCCAAGAUGAACUUUGGUCACUUAAGAAUCUGUGAGGGAUGCAUUACUUAUACUUACUUUAUAAGGCUGGUUUGUGGGAAUUGCUGUAGUUUCUAUAUGGGAGCACAUUCAAUCACUAGAUAAUGAUUCUGUUAUAAGCAAGAAGGUAAUCAGAGCUGAGAGUAGCUUGUAAUCAGAAUUACUUCCUCAUGAGUCAGUAGGAGUCAGAUGGGGAUAAGAGAAAGAACAGGCUGUAAUGUUAAGCCCAGUGACAAUCUGAAGCUGAGCUGCAGGCAGUUAACAGAGCCCUAACCCUCAUCACUCCAUUCAUUCAUUCAGGACAUAUUUGCUGGGUGUCUCUUACGUGUUGGGUACAACACAUGUAUCACUGCUAUUACGAUGCUCCUCCUGUCAGGAGGAGUGCCUGACUGGAACAGUCAGCAUAUACAAGAACGUGCCAGGGCUUUACGGACAUUUUUAUUCAGUCCUCACAACAUCCCUAUGAGGUGGAUACAAUUACUAUUCCCAUUUUAUAGAUGCUGAGCCUGAGGCCCCAACAUAAGAGGAAACAUGAGAAGCCACACACCAAGGGAAGACCUGCCAGUGUAUGUGGUCAUGAUGAGUCCCUGGAUCUCAGUCCGGGCACUUAGACUUUUAACCCCAGAACUUAGUAUACAUUUCAGUAAUUAAAUAUCAAGCCACUUCUGUGCUUGCUUCAUUCUUCACUCCUGAAAUCCUGGCAUCCGUCAUUCCUAAAUAUAAUACAUGCCAGUGUGCGGCGGCGGGUGUCAGCUUACCAGAAUGCCAUUAUCCCCUCGCCCUCUGCCAAGGAAUCACUUUACACGGACAUUCUUCCUGGGACGGCUGGCCUGUGCCUCCCCAGAGCCUGGAGGCAACAGCAGGAGAGUGGACAUCACCAGCUGGGGACCUGCCUGCACCCGCCGACAGCCACAUGCCCUUGAGCGACUCCGAUGAAAGCCACAGAAACGCUGCCAGCUGCCGCCCAAACACGAGUGCAGCUCUGGAAGUCACCUGUGACCUCUUCCCCUGCACCAUAGGCCCCUGGCUCUGCCUCCUGGUAUGGGCCCUAGUGUCUUACCUGCUCCCUCAGAGCUGGAAAGGUCUGCCCCUGCCCCCAUCAAAAAAGGAAGUUCCAUUUUAAAAAGAAAGAUUCUGAAAAUUGAAAUUUGUUCAAUAGGAACCAAGAAAUUGGAAGAGGCCCCUUCUUCCAAUCCCCCCACCCCCACACCCACACCCACAGAGAGCCAUUAUAAAUGGGAAAGGAGCAUCACCCUUUCCAGGGUGUCCCAGCACCCUGGGGACAAUUCGGGCCCCCGGGGGCAAGCCACUGCAGGGAGUCACUGGUUUUCUCCAUUAGUCUCUUUUACUUAUGUGUGUCUCUGCCUUAAUAAAACUCUAUCUGAA